AUGUCUAACCAUUGUCCACUUGAGUCCAAUGUGGCCUCUCAUUAUAUAGGUAAGCGUUGCCUUGAUGAAAAAUAUUAUGAUGAUGUAUUUAUAGAUAACCGAGCUGACUGCCUAAUACCAUUGUCGCGGGAGAAAGUGACUAAUAAAUCGCCAUUUCUUCAACUGCGGCCUCCAUCAACAUAUUUUGGGAUGUUCCCACAUCUGUUAGGCUCGACUUCAAAUGAUGGCCUACGGUGGUCCUCACCAUCCUUUGGAAGAUUUGGCACUCUUGAAAAGCCUGUGUCUUCUGUAAGAGGUCACACUCCGCGCAUUCACGUUAAGGAACAAUGUAUAGGUCUUCACUUUAUGGAAUUUUCGCUUAAGGUGUCACAAUAA
rnacentral:rRNA from 1 species